UCCAGGAUGGCCACAGUUCGGUGGGCUUCACUGCCGGAGCAUCUCCGAGCUAUGCCGUUCAAUUUGCGCUUCAUGGGAUUCAUCGGACUGUGGGGUCCACGGCGGGAAAUUUGCAAGUUUUUGGUUCCACUAAUCUUCGCCACGAUGGUGAUCAUGUUCCCAAAGGUGGUUUUCGGAAUUGGAAGUUCCGACGCAACGGCGAUUUGCAAGGGGGUGGCGGAGUUCAUUUUUGAACUUUCCAACUUUGUAACGCUUGUCAUAUUGGCGCUGAAGAGGACUGCGUUGGAAAGGCUGAUCCAAGAACUGGAAGAUUUUGUUCGUGAAGUUGCCAUCGGAGAGGAAUCAAAAGAAUGCUACGAUAUGAUUUGCAAGCAAAACUACAAAAUGAGAAAAGUUUUCAAUUUUUUGGUACACUAUUGCGCAUAUGGGACGUUGGGAUUUUGGCUUCCAUCAUUUUUGAUAAGUCAUUACCGUUUUUGGACAAAUUCUGAUCCUCUUAUCCUUGAACUGCCUAUGGAACAAGAAUUUUAUUGGCUGCAAAUCCGAACCAAUUUUGCAGAUUAUCACAUUUUUAUGGGAUUCUCGCUGAUUGCCUACGCGAUUUGUGCGUUUUUUGAGUUGUUGAAGGUUUCGACCACGUGUUUCAUCAUACGAUACAGUGCCCUAACCUUUCGGCUAGUGGCUGCAAAAAUCAAAACAUUGCCUCAAAUAACUGAAGAUGAAUCUCGGACGGAAGUACACGUCGAAGAUUUGAAGAAAGUUGUUGAGCUGCACCGGAAGGCAUUUGGGUGUGUGAUUGUUUGCUUUUUGAACUUUUUUCUACACGCUAAAAUGGACUUUUUACAGCAUCACGGAAUUGAUUGAGGAAAUUUGUCAACUACCAGUUGCCCUGGAGUUUUUCUUCUGU